GAUGAACGCUGGCGGCGUGCCUAAUACAUGCAAGUCGAACGGUCUAGCGCAAGUUAGAUAGUGGCGAACGGGUGAGUAACGCGUUGGUGACCUGCCCCGAAGUGUGGGAUAACAGUUCGAAAGGAUUGCUAAUACCGCAUGUGGUCCGAGGGAUUAGAUGCCCUUUGACUAAAGGAGAAAUUCGCUUCGGGAGGGACCUGCGUCCCAUCAGCUAGUUGGUAGGGUAACGGCCUACCAAGGCAGUGACGGGUAGGGGACCUGAGAGGGUGGCCCCCCACAAUGGAACUGAAACACGGUCCAUACACCUACGGGAGGCAG
rnacentral:rRNA from 1 species